rnacentral:lncRNA from 1 species
CCUGAUAAUAGUUUUUUGAAGGAGGGUUAGACAAUAAAAAUUUUUUAAAGGAAGAAUAAGAAAUCUUCUGGAGUCUUAUAGUAAAAACACAACUGAGUUAACUGUUAGGAUUUUUUAUUUCCUCACACUUUUUUUUCUAUAUAAUCACCCCCCCCCCCACACACACACACACACUCUUUUUGUAUAGAUUUAAAUUAUUAUAUAUCAGCAUUUGCCAGCAAGAAUUCCACAGCAUCAGUUCCCUGGGUUCUAACAGGUAUUACAUAGAAGCAGUGUACCUCAAGGUGAAGAGGAGUUGGAGUCAUCCCAUCCUGGUUCAAACUCUAGCUCUGCCACUUACCAGCUUCAUGACCUUGGGGAAGGUAUUUAACCAUUUUCUGCUGUAGUGUAUUCAUCUGUAACAUGGGAAUAAUAAUUGUACCUAUCUCAUAUAGUUGUUGUGAGGAUUAAGUAAAUUAAUUUAGUAAAUAAGCACAUAGACUAGUAGUGCCUGACAGUGCAUAGUCUGCAAGUGUUGUUUAUUAAAUAAGAAAAGGGCUCUCUGCUUAGAGUUGGGGAAAUCAGAGCCAAAGUUAAGCUAGGUGUGUUUGCUAAAAGACCCCUUAAUCUUUGAUAUUAUAAUGCAGUUAAUUUUUUAGAGCGACUUAAAUUAUGUGAAACUUUAUUUAACCAUGCAGAUCUUUUUGGAACAGGUAUCUCACAGGGCUAAUAUUAUUUUUCUUUUUGAGAAACCUAAAUAUUUUUAUUUUAAAGUCAGUUGGACUCUUCUAUUAUUUUACUCAAGAGUGAAUUCAUUUUGGGUUGUUGAUUUUAACUUUGGCAUUGGGUUUGGAACUCAGGGUAUUUUUAAGAGAAAUCAGUUCAAAGUGGACAAUUAGGUACAAUACCUGUGCUCUUGUUUAAUAGUAUGCUGUCUUUCAGAUUAGCCCAGAGUUGACAACUACUUUACCUUAUGUCUUCAUGGAAAGAUUGCUCAAUUGGCAAUUACAGGAUAAAUUUCCAUGCGUUGUACUUCCACUUUCAUCUCACAUUCAGUCUAAUAAAAUGUUUGUAGAAUUAUAUGGCUUUAUGUUCUCUUCUAGUGUACAUAUAUCUAUGAAAAUAUGUAAGUCUCUGUAAAAAUGAGCAAUUCUACUAGGCUAUUAUUCUGUCAGCAACUCUGGCUAAUGCAGUUUCCAUUAAAAGAGAUUUUAACAGAAGUAUUUCUUUGAUGUAUAAUUUUAAGGCACUUUCCCAUAACUAUAAUGUUAGCAUCAUUUGAUGACAUAUAUGGUCCAAUUUAGUGUGAAGCAGAUUGUACCUUCUAAAAGAAUUACUGCUUUCAAUUCAUACUUGUUUUAAAUUGCAUUGAAAUAAAAAGUGGCAUAUAUUUUUUUUCAUCUCUUCCAAUGGAAGAAAGUAUGUUUUCU